AAAUGGAUACUGAGGUGUGACGCGCUGC
rnacentral:sRNA from 1 species